GGAAAAAUGACUGUGGACUCUUAGGAUGCUGGCCUGAUCAACUGAAUGACUGACCAUGUCAUUCGGUGGAAUGAGGAAACUGGGGGAGGAGCCAGCUACCAGGUGGCAGGUUGAUUACCUUGGAUUGCUUCCAUCAGGGAGGGGGCAACAAUUUGUUCCCUUUGGAACAGGUAUUUAUUCCAGAUUUGGACUUCGUUUCCUUGGCUGCCUGUACUCUCUCUGUGGACUUGCUAAAUGCCUUAUAUUUGAAUCAUGGUCUCCCACACAGUGUUACUUCUGACCAAGAAAUGCAUUUUACAGGGAAACAGUAAACCAAUGUGGAAUUCCCUGAUCUUAUCACAGUAUCCAGUCACCAGAAGCAGGUGGCUCAGGACAAGAGAGGAAUGGGCUAUUGGCAGCCAGUUCCUGGGCCAGCUGGAGAGACACCUUGCAGUGAUAUACCAUCUUCUCUGACUAGUGCUGCUCUUUAUUCCUAGCCAAGAUACGUGGGGCCCAGAAUCCCAGGGGUAAAAGUGGUGGCAGAUGGGUGAGGGGAUUUAUCAAAAUUGUCCACCAACCUAAAGUUUUUCACUUCCUUUACCCUCAGAUUCUGUCUGGGAAAUUUGGAUAUGCAGAGAAGAAACACUUUCAGCUGGAAACAGAGUUCCAAAAAUGACGGCCUGGAAUAUUCUGUGAGCCAAGCUAAUGACCGUUGUACCAGAUUUAAUUUUAC
rnacentral:lncRNA from 1 species